rnacentral:pre_miRNA from 1 species
GUCCCUGUAAUUUUAGAUUCCUCCACUUUUGGUCCCUCAUUUUAUGUCCCAUGUAUGCAAAUUCUGCUUACGUGGUGGAAUGAGGGACCAAAAGUGGAAGAAUCUGAAAUUAUGGGGAC